rnacentral:rRNA from 1 species
ACAGGGAUAUAAAGCUAUUGCAUGCGAUGCUUAUUCUAUAGGCGUUUGCCCUUAAAUGCAAGCUAAGCCCGUCGAUCUAAUCUAACUCAUUGCUUGAACGUACUUCGGUACUUCAGCUGGGUGGAAGUGUAAGAAUCGAAUAACAAUCUUUAUGUUAGUUACAAUAACCUUAUAAUUGUAAUAAACCUAUUACAUUAUAAUGGGCGGUUUACUACUUUUAACAAAAUAAAAGUAAUACAAUACGCAGCGCUUUAGCGUUGGAAAGCAAACGUCUGUAGUUUUACUACUGCCUUAGAGUGUGACAGCCACGUUCUAAAUUGCUAUUCUAUUAAAAAAAGUAAUAACCGUUAAUUGUUAUAACCGUAAUUCGUGAUUGUUGAUACCAGAGUCGAGUUGUUUGGGACUACAGCUCAAAUCGUUUGGAGGUGGUAAUGACACAUCUAAGGCUAAAUAUUGGUGUUUACUUAUAACAUGCAAUGGAAACCGAUAGCAAACAAGUACCGUAAGGGAACGAUGAAAAGCACCCUUCAUAGCGCACUAUGUUAUUAUUUCUUUUUUUUUAAAAGAUCUAAUACAUACUAAGCUCCAAAGGGAGUGAAAGAGAGAGUGAAAUCGCCUAACAUUAUAUUAAAUCGCUAAUAGCGCUCUUUAACAAAUGUUAAUACAAUUCAGCGAAGUACAAUCGGACAGAGUGUCUUUGUAUCUCUUAUUUUAAGAGAUUAUAAGCGGGCUAUUACAUUUUAAAAAAUGUAAUAUGUUACGCUAUAACAAUCUUAUUGUUAUUUUAACGAUAAGAUAAUCAGGACACAACUAUCUGACCCGUCUUGAAACACGGACCAAGGAGUUCAACUGGACUGCAAGUCUUAUAGAUUAUCAUUAAUCUAAUAAAAGGCAAAGCGAAAGCAAUGUUCUUUCUUAUUACGUGUUAAGUCCCUAUUCACACAGGGACUGCCACACAAGCUGUUUACGGUCAUAUUGUUAGAGCCUUUGUGCUGUGCAUAUGCAUUAACUUUUGCUUUUAUAGCUUUAGUUUAAUGGUUAAACAAGCUUAUAGAGCAAUUUAGUUGAGACCCGAAAGAUGGUGAACUAUGCCCGGACAUGGUGAAGCCAGGUGAAAACUUGGUGGAAGCUUGCGUUGUGCGGAACUGACGUGCAAAUCGUUGCCGCCUGAUCUGGGUAUAGGGGCGAAAGACUCAUCGAACCAUCUAGUAGCUGGUUCCCUCCGAAGUUUCCCUUAGGAUAGCUCGAUAUUAUUAGAUUAUAAUCUAUUAGAUUAUAAUACUGUGUAACGCAAGGGUAAAGCAAUGAGACGCGGUAUCUGUGGGUCUUAUCUUUAAUGACCUCGGCCUUCUCUCAAACUUUAAAUCUGUGCGAUUUCAUAUGCUUACUUAGAUUAACCUAUUAUUAGGUUAUAAGAAGCUAUGUUAUUCUAUUACUAUAAUCCUUAUUACAAUAUAAUACAAUAAAUCUAUUAGAUUUAUUAAAAGGAUUAUAAGUAAAUCAAUUGUAACUAAAUAUCGUAGUGGGCCAUUCCUGGUAAGCAGGACUGGCGAUGAGGGAUUCAACCUGACGUUUUCAAGAUAAGCCGGGCUUAAUCUUAUCUGCUCCAACCUUCCGAUAAACGCGAAAGGGUGUUCCGUGUGGUGCAGACAGCAGGACGGUGGCCAUGGAAGUUGGAAUCCGCGUAAGGAGUGUGUAACAACUCACCUGCAGAAUCACACCGCCCCGAAAACGGAUGGCGCUCAAGCAGUUAAUUUUUAAUAGAUUUAUUCUAUUAAAAGAAUACCCGACACUUGACCAUUGUUAUUAUAUCUUAUUAUUAUAAUACAAUGAGUAGGAGGUUAUCAAUCGCGUGUGGAUAUACUUACGUGUGUCUAAUUUUUUAAUAAGACACCACGUUUUGUUUACGCUUAGAAGCGGCAUCUCGUAAGAGGCCGUUGAGCUAUCCAUAGUGCAGAUCUUGGUACUAGUAGCAAGGAGUCUUACUGAGAUAUCUUAAAUGGUUAUAACCUACUUUAUUUAAAUAAAGUAAUAUAACCUUCUUUUAACCGAGGAUGACCGAAGCGGAGAAAGGUUCCAUGUUGCAGCUUAGUGCGACGUGGGUGAGUCAGUCCUAAGGCUAAUGUCUGAAACAGGCUUUCAAUUCUGUUACAUCUUUUGUUUAAAUUAUAUUUCUAUUACUUUGUAAUAGAUUUAUUACAUUUGACAAAUCGUAACGGUUGGCUAAACGGGAAUCGGGUUAAUAUUCUCGAACCACUGUAUGACAGUCUUAUUUUAACUCUAUUAAAAUAAUAAUAUCGCGGCAACGCUAAAGUUGGGUUGUUUAUUUUAAAACGACCUCAACCACAAGGCAAGUUACUUGAGGCGAGAAUCCUGACAGGGUUAUCUAACCUGUUUAACCUUUAUUGCUUAAAAAUCUAAUAGAUUUCUAAUCUAUUAAACAAAAAAAGUAAUAAUCUUAUAAUACUAAUACAAUAAACCAACAACCAAGUGUUGAGCGGCAUUUAGUGAACGAUGCACUUGGUUAUUUGCCCAUUAGUAAUGGGAAGAGCACUGGUGUCUGUAGAUUACUAUGUAUUACUUUUAUUUUCUAAUAAGAGUGGUAUCAUAUGUACUCUCAGGCAAUUUACCUGGUGUCUAUGGACUUCUUGUUCUCAGGCGUGAAAAGCUUGUCUCGUAUUAAGUAUUAAUAGGUUAUAAUACCCGGCUCUAGUAUAACCUAUUAUUCUAUUAAAAUAAAAUAACAAUACACUGCUACAGUGUCUGUACUCAUAACCGCAUCAGGUCUCCAAGGUUUGCAGCCUUUGGUCGUAUAGAAAUACGGUGGGUAAGGGAAGUCGGCAAAUUCGGUCCGUACUUACGAUACAAGGACUGGCUCCGAAGGUGAAUGAAUUCCAUUAGUUAUAUUAUAUUUUUAUUAUAAGCUAUUCGCUUUAAAUAAAAAGAAAUACUCUUUUAAAGAGUAUAAUAGCUAAUGCGUAUAUAUCCCAACCUUUGAGAACUGGCACGGACUCGGGGAAUCCGACUGUUUAAUUAAAACAUAGCAAAGUGCAAUGUUUCUCUAUGUAGAUUGAUUUGCCUUUAAAGAUUCGUCUUUAAUACUAUCUCAGUCGCAUUACUUUUUUUUAUUAGUCCGAAAUGGAUUUGAACACUUUGUGUAUUCUGCCCAGUGCUCUGCAAGUUAUUCUGUGUGGAUACAGCAUCUUAAGCGCGGGUCAACGGCGGGAGUAACUAUGACUCUCUUAAGGUAGCCAAAUGCCUCGUCAUUUAAUUGGUGACGCGCAUGAAUGGAUCAACGAGAUUCCCACUGUCCCUACUCACUCUCUAGCGAAAUUACAGCCAAGCCAACGGUCUUGAGAUAGUACUUGUGUGUGUAAUUAAUACAUAGUGUCACAAGACAUAAUUAUUGUAUUAUAAUAAGCACUUAUGGUCUAAUACAUUUACAAUACAGUGUCGUGUUAUUAUAACACCACGAUUGUAUUAGUUAUUAGAUAUUUGUUUAAUACAAUAAAUCUAAUAAACAACGUACAACAGCGGGGCAAGAAGACCCUUUUGAGCUUGACUCUAAUCUGUUAUUGUCAUCUGGUCGGCAUGGCGAAGAUUGUAAGAGGCAGUGCAUUUAUUUGUACGACCAUGAAACACCGCUACUUGACGAUUUGGCUGACUAACUGUAUAGGCAUUGCCUUUUUACAGUGUUAGAAACAACAUACAUUUCCGGUCUAAAAGAGCUUAUAAUACUUAUUGUAUUAUACUCUUAACCGUUUAUGUAAGCAUUGUGUCAUUCGUUUCUUUUAUUAUAACGACCAUUGUUCUCUUGUCUUAUUACGAUAGAAUUAUAUUAUUCUAUUUGUAAAAGGCUAUUAUUGUUAUAGCCUUAGACUUGUUGAAAUGACCUAUGCCAAUGAGCUACCAUUUUAAACAUAGCAUUACGAGCAUUGGACUACAAUGUCUGUAUUGAUUCUUUUUUAAUAGCUUUAUGCUGUUAAUAGGAAUACAAAUCUAAAGACAUAUACCCAUUAUAGCAAUUGUACAGGACAUUUGCAGAAUGGGAGUUUGGCUGGGGUGGCACAUCUGUUAGAAUGCAACACAGGUGUCCCAAGGGCAGCUCCGUGAGAACAGAAACCUCUCAUCGAGUAUAAGGGCAAAAGCUGUCUUAAUCUAAGUACCUUCAGUAACGGUACACAAUGAAAUAUAAUACUUGCCUGUCUUAUGUUUACUCGUAAACAUGUAUGGCUUGUCUAGUGUGAAAGCACGGCCUAGCGAUCCUUUAGUGAACGUAUGAAUUCUAUGGUAUUUACUUAUGCGUAAUACAUUCUCUUAACCGUAUUAAAUCUUUAACCAUUUAGCCUUAAAGAAUGUGUAUUUUACGAUUCUUAUCGUGGUUAUGCCAUUCUGUUUUUAAGUGUUAUAUUGGUAAUCUAUUAGGUUUAUUACUCUUAAAUAAAGAGUCUUAUUACCAUUUGACCUAUUACUUUUUGCGGCUAGAGGUGUCAGAAAAGUUACCACAGGGAUAACUGGCUUGUGGCCCCGGAGCGUUCAAAGCGAUGGGGCUUUUUGAUUCUUCGAUGUCGGCUCUUCCUAUCCUGCGGUUGCAUACGGCCGCAAGGGUAAGUUUGUUCACCUGCCAACAGGGAACGUGAG